UACUCGUAUAUUAUAUGUCGAACAUACUUUUCUCCAGGAAGUUUUUAUCUAAACUUACGGCCAUCAUCAGAAACUUCUGGUGGACAGGGGUUAGAGAAGAGUCUACUACAAGAAGCUUAUGUCUUAGGGCUUGGGAUGAUAUAUGCACACAAAAGAAAGAAGGUGGUCUGGGCAUUAGAAAUUUACAGGCAAUUAACCAAGGGCUCAUUCUAACGGCGGCUUGGAGGCUUGCAAAUGAUCCCCAACAUCAUUUGGCGCAGAUUCUCAAAGCCAAAUAUCACCCUGAUACCUCUAUUUGGCGAGCAAAACCAAACACACCGAAAUCUGCUUUCUGGACAGCUAUACUCAAGGUUUGGAAAUGCAAGAACAUGGUGCCAAGAGUUCAGACUUUCGCUUGGAGGCUAUUGAGAAGAGCACUUCCCACCGGAAAAAGGGCAGGAAAGCUCAUAAACCAUAUCAGGUGUUUGCUGCAACACAGGCUAUAUUACAGGAAACCAAACUAGAAGAUCAAGCUCAAAACAGGCCGCCGCAAGAUUUGGUUCAAAAGCGAGAAGAACACAUACAAGCUUCCCCAACCCAAGACCAAAUUAAUGCUACAGAGUCGGCUACAUCUCAGAAUCAACUCAUGAACCUUCAGGUGUUACCUACUCCAGGAACAACUGCUGCCGAUCCGUGGAGCAU